GAUGAACGCUGGCGGCGUGCCUAAUACAUGCAAGUCGAGCGAACGGACGAGAAGCUUGCUUCUCUGAUGUUAGCGGCGGACGGGUGAGUAACACGUGGAUAACCUACCUAUAAGACUGGGAUAACUUCGGGAAACCGGAGCUAAUACCGGAUAAUAUUUUGAACCGCAUGGUUCAAAAGUGAAAGACGGUCCUGCUGUCACUUAUAGAUGGAUCCGCGCUGCAUUAGCUAGUUGGUAAGGUAACGGCUUACCAAGGCAACGAUGCAUAGCCGACCUGAGAGGGUGAUCGGCCACACUGGAACUGAGACACGGUCCAGACUCCUACGGGAGGCAGCAGUAGGGAAUCUUCCGCAAUGGGCGAAAGCCUGACGGAGCAACGCCGCGUGAGUGAUGAAGGUCUUCGGAUCGUAAAACUCUGUUAUUAGGGAAGAACAUAUGUGUAAGUAACUGUGCACAUCUUGACGGUACCUAAUCAGAAAGCCACGGCUAACUACGU
rnacentral:rRNA from 1 species